AAGACACAACAUGCUUGCACUGAAGCCCCUGAUGGUCCAUCUCUGCAGACUCCUGAGAAGGACAUGGAGUACAGCUUCUUGUCUCCAGAUAAUUCUCUACACUGCUGGUUUAUAAUCUUCUUGUGUCUCCUAUUACAGACUGUGGUGGACAAGGCACAAGCCCUAGGAUUUCAGAGGUGAUGAAUAGGACCACAUCUGAUGUAUCUCUAGCUUCAGGGAACCAUUUGCAUGCUGAGCCUGGAUGCUCCCAUUUUAUCAAAGGGAGUGAAUGGGUUUAUGGUGCCAACAAAUCAGGUAAGGCAGGUUAUAAAGCAGGUGAGGUAAGUAAAGUAUUUCAAAGUCCA